AUGGGCGCGGACGAGAAGGAGCACCAGUCCCCCGCGCGGAAGCGCGAGCGCGAGGAGGGGGAGGUGCCCGCGGCCGCCGACGAGAUGCGCCCGCGCACGGUGGACGAGUCGGAGGGCGCCUCGCUGCUGGGGCUCGCCAACUACGCAGACGAGGAGGAGGAGCGCGGGGCCCCGAGGGGGCACGCGAACGGCCGGCCCCGGGAGGAGGAGGAGGAAGACGAUGAGGAUGAGGAGGAGGACGAGAGGAGGGCUCGGGAGAGGCGGCCCAGGCAGGUCGAGCUGCGCCGGGACUGCCCCAACCCGGCAGGUGUAUUACUGUUUCUGAACUAUCAGGCACAAAGGAUGCCGAGCCUUGUUCAUCUGGUGAUCACUGUAUUGGAAUCUGAAGGAUAUUUAGCCUUGUCAUCAUGA
rnacentral:rRNA from 1 species